CGGCUACAUCACAUUGAAUCACCAAUACUCGUACGAUCAGCGAAGUAAAGCAACAUCGAGCCUGAUCAAUACCUAGAUGGGUGACCGCUUGGAAAUACCAGAUGCUGGAA